CUUGUCAGAAAUGGAUACAAACAAGCCCUCAAUGAAACUAGUAGAAGCUCAAAAACUAAAUGAAAAUCACUUUCCAUUAGCUGCAAUGUGGGGACAAUUGAUCUUUCUAGGUUCUCAUGUUCUUGGUAGGAAGUUGAACCACCAUGUUGAUGUUUCUACCUACAAGCUCUGCAACAACUUCACUAAAUUGAUGAUAAGACCCAACCUUCAUGGAAGGCCAAAAAAAAAAAAAAAAGAAGCACACCCAAUUUGCUUACAUGUCCAGAACUGAAACCCAACACGGAAGCAACGCGCUUUCUCCACCUGGGCCAGCAGUUUCCUUCCUACUUUACUUCUCCAUUCGGCAAACCCAGUUUGAUCCAAUAAAUAGAUUUUUCUCAUCUCUCAUAUUCAGUGACAAACCCCCUGCUUCUGGGCUUGAUCCAAAAGGGCUUUUCCUCAUCUGACCAUGCUGUUUUUCUGGUUUCUCUGAGUCUCACCUUCCCAAGCAUCAAUCAUUAGGAGUGAAAGGUGGUUUUGGUGAAGGAAGAGCAUGGUUGAUCAUCAUCAUCAUGGCAGUGAGCGGUCUUCAAGGAGCAGGCCAAGAGGCGAUUCGCUUCUGGGAAGCUGCUGCUGCCCUUUUUUUUGGGUUUCGGCUACGUUUAGAGGGAUCGGGAGAUGCUUGUUUGUGAGUUGUUACCCCAUAAUUCAAUGCUUUGGGUGGGAUGAUUGCAGGCACCACCACCAUAGGCAUUUCUGAAUUUAUCAAUUCAAACAUUCUGAUCCAACCUGUUUGAUUUCCUCUUUUUUUGUGUUUGAUUCUCCCGUACCCUCAAUUUGAUUGGUUGCUGAGAAAACACGAGAAAAAGAUCAAGAAACUUGUAGAGGAAGAAGAAGAAAAAAAGAAAAACAAUUGGAAUCUUCCAAAGUUUAUUCUUUUCUCUCUUUAAAA